rnacentral:rRNA from 1 species
CCUACGGGUGGCAGCAGUGGGGAAUAUUGGACAAUGGGCGAAAGCCUGAUCCAGCAAUGCCGCGUGUGAAGAAGGUCUUCGGAUCGUAAAGCACUUUCGACGGGGACGAUGAUGACGGUACCCGUAGAAGAAGCCCCGGCUAACUUCGUGCCAGCAGCCGCGGUAAUACGAAGGGGGCUAGCGUUGCUCGGAAUGACUGGGCGUAAAGGGCACGUAGGCGGUGAAUCGGGUUGAAAGUGAAAGUCGCCAAAAACUGGCGGAAGACUCUCGAAACCAAUUCACUUGAGUGAGACAGAGGAGAGUGGGAUUUCGUGUGUAGGGGUGAAAUCCGGAGAUCUACGGAGGAACGCCAAAAGCGAAGGCAGCUCUCUGGGUCCCUACGGACGCUGGAGUGCGAAAGCAUGGGGAGCGAACGGGAUUAGAUACCCCCGUAGUC